rnacentral:rRNA from 1 species
AACGAACGCUGGCGGCAUGCCUAACACAUGCAAGUCGAACGAGACCUUCGGGUCUAGUGGCGCACGGGUGCGUAACGCGUGGGAACCUGCCCUUGGGUUCGGAAUAACAGUUGGAAACGCCUGCUAAUACCGGAUGAUGUCUUCGGACCAAAGAUUUAUCGCCCGGGGAUGAGUCCGCGUAGGAUUAGCUUGUUGGUGAGGUAAAGGCUCACCAAGGCGACGAUCCUUAGCUGGUCUGAGAGGAUGAUCAGCCACACUGGGACUGAGACACGGCCCAGACUGCUACGGGAGGCAGCAGUGGGGAAUAUUGGACAAUGGGCGAAAGCCUGAUCCAGCAAUGCCGCGUGAGUGAUGAAGGCCUUAGGGUUGUAAAGCUCUUUUACCCGGGAUGAUAAUGACAGUACCGGGAGAAUAAGCCCCGGCUAACUCCGUGCCAGCCGCCGCAGAAGAC